AUAGGAGACGAAUGCCCAAUUUUUCAAGAAGAAGAAAACGAAAAGCGCAGUUUAUUUUGGAUUUUAAAGAGAGAAACUAAAAGGCUUAACUAGGAGAAAAAGAAAACAUUUGGAGGAUUCAAGUAUAUUGGGUACAACAAACAAAUAAGAGAUUUUCGACGUGGAUCCUAUCAAUCAGUUAAGUUUUAGUUUUAAAUAAUGAAUAAGAAAACCUUUUCAAACCUCUUGAGCAAGGAAAAAUCGAAAUUUGAAGCUACGGUGGCAAAAUUUCGAAGACUGAAUGAAUCUGUUCAAGAGGUCGCGGUGCUUCAAAAGACGUUUAUAAGACGAAUAAUGGAUCUAUGCGUGUGAGCCCAAAACAAAACAGCAAUCGACAAAUAAAAAAAAAUAAAAAAUAAAACAUUUUCGUUCAUAAAUAUGCCCAUUUACAUUAUUAGGCCAGAAAUAUAUAUAGCAACCUACGUAUUUGCACAAUAGACGAUGUGUUGUUAGUGUCGAUGGAGUGUCAUCCGAUUCAUUCAUUGCGUCUUCGGGAGUGCCACAAGGAAGCGUUUUGGGUCCACUUCUCUUUGUGCUGUUUACCAAUGACAUUUCCUGUUGCUUCUCUUUUGCUAACUUUAUGAUAUAUGCAGAUGACUUAAAAAUUUUAGUAAUAAUCAAAAACUUCGAAGAUGUAAUCAAACUUCAAUGUGAUAUUGAUAUUUUUUAUGAUUGGUGCCUGAAAUCGAAGCUUUUUCCGAAUCUAGAUAAAUGUUCUCAGACCUCGUCUUACAUUCAAGUUACAAUAUCUUUAAUUGCGUCCUAAAAUGACUAACUGAAAUCAAAGAUAUUGGGAUAAUUUUUGACAAUAGAUUGUCUUUCAAUAAUCACAUCAACUAUAUCACCUCUAAAUCAUUCUCUGUGCUUGGCUUUGUUCGUCGAAAUGCUGCCAAUUUUUCCUACCUCUACGCGUUAAAAUUACAGUAAAAUUUUUUUUGCUCGAUCUACGCAGGAGGUUCUGGAGUACGCAGUGACGCCUAUCGUCAAUUAAUACGAUUGAGCGCGUUCAAAAGAUUUUUCUAAAAUUUGCUCUCCGCUCAUUUAAAUUUGUUGACCCAAUACCAUGGUAUACUUCUCUUUUAUUGCUUUUACAUUAUAAAUUACUGGAAAAUCAACGGUCCGUUCUCUGCCUUUCAUUUGUUUUCAAUGUAAUUAAUGGAGGUAUUGACUGUCCCUAUUUAUUAUGGAAAAUUAAUUAAAAAAUGCGUUUCGCUUCCCUCUUCAACUCUCGGUAAGUAUCCCAUUCCGCACGUGUUGUGGUCGAUCGUAAUGUUGCGAGGUAAGCAGUCUGUUCUCUCUCCCCGCUGCCACACGGCACUCCUCGUCGUACCAGCUGUUCUUUUGCAUUUUCCCAAAACCAAAGGUUUCGGUUGCAGCUGUACGUAAGAAGUUUGAAAUGCCGUCCCUCAGAUCUCUUAUACGAAGUUGUUGACAAGUGUUCUCAGAGCACAGGAGUGCAAGUAAUUGACCCGUCUAGUUUGUAUGCUGGAGUCAACGUCCAGGGGCUCUGGGCGCGGCUACGGUUUGGGUGCCAUAGGGCGAAGGUGGGCUGUAUAGUUUUCUUGUUGAUAUUGAUGGUACGUUGUUUGUCGUAGGGCAGCAAGUGGCUGAUACCCAAUUUGUCUAUAAUGAUGUCCGGUCUAACUAAUGGUGGUUGUUCAUAGUUUUUAAAAUGAAACAUACGUGAAGCUGGUAUCGGUUUCUGUAUUCUUUGGUCAAUAGUUAAGAUAGGAUUAAUUCUUUAGCUUUAAGCAGAGAUGUAAAGCGGUUGGCAAAUCUGUAGAUUCCUUGGUACCCAAUAUUCGAGCCAAAUCUCCUCGGGCUUUGUCCCUGUAUGACUUUGUCAUUACCAACUCGGCUUCUCUGUUCAAACACAUACAACCAAUUUUGUUUAAAAUAAGUGAGAGAUGUUUAUGACAUCUUGGUAGAACUCUUCUACUGAUUGUUAACUGCCUUGUACUAUUGAGGUAAUUUGAUAUUCUAGCGUUCCUUUCGUUUAUCAGCGGAAUGGUUUCUGAAAGCUCAGACCGCGUGCUUCUAACAAAUAACUUUGUUUGCCCUUCUGUUUAAUAGUUCACCACCUGAAGCAUUUCUGUUAGGUAUUGCGAAAAAACUUGUCGCAAUUUCCACGUUCACAGAUUGUAUCAAAGAAGCACUACUUAUUCCUCUUUCAACAAAUUCCAUUGAUAUUUCGGAACUCACAUCUCCAUUAUAGAAUAGGUUAGCAUAUCUAAGUUGCUUUUAGCAGGUGCUCGCUCGACUGUCGACGAAGGAGUCUCCUCCACACUAUGUGAUAUUGGAUGCCUUCGUCGUAGGUGAUCAUUCAAAUGUAAGGUUACCCUAGCGAAAUAUUAAUUCUAAUCUGAGUGGCAUCACCGGCACAUCAAAAGCAACACUUGAAUUUCAACCGCCAACGUGAACGCAGCCUACCGUGCGAUAUAAUCUAUUUUUUCAAAUAAACUUUGUGAACUAUAAUUUUAAUACAAAUAUAAAUAAAAGACCAUCCUGAACAUUAGAAAGUGUCCGAAGAAAAACUUUUCAAAUCAGAAGUAGGAUUAUUCCACGCGUACAAAACGUCAAAAUGUGUACUAAUACGUUUACUUGUACACAAUUUUGUAAACGGUUCGCGUGAUCAAAUAUGUGUGGAAAUUAAUAAACGAAAAAUGUGCUAAACGUUAAUUUGUGUAUUUUCAAACGAAAUUAAUCCUGCCAUAUAACGAAAAGAGCACACAAUUCUCAGUGAAACACAUUUACGAACAUACGUGUAAAAUACUGCAAAACGUUAACAUGUAGAUUUCAUAAACCUAAAGUGUAUUAUAAAAAACGAAAAUUUUAAGUUAUAACUUAACGUACAAUUUAAAUGUGUAAAAAAGUGAGAAUCAUCUCGAUCAUUCGAUAUAUCGGCUAACGGCGCAUCAUCUUGAACAUUCGAUUUAACGGCGAGUGCGUAUAUGCAAAAUAACGAAGUAGAUAAUAUAUAGCGAAGUACAUAAUUUGUAAAAAUGAGAGCUGUUGUAUUAUUGAGUGUAGUACAACUAAAACGACAGUUAUCAGAGCGAAAUUGCUCAACGUCAGUUACGAAGGCAACACUCAUAAGUGGUUUGAGUGAAACAAUCGGGUCGGAGGAAAUCGAAGUCGAAGAGGACGAAAUCGAAAAAGUUACGGGAGAUGAUAGUGAACAGUGUGAUGACGGAAGACAAAAAUCGUUACAAAGACAAAUGGACGAAAUGCGCGGAAUUUUAGAAAAUGUGUUGUCAUAUAUGCAAAAUAAUUCCCAAACUCGAAGUGUGCCAAUUAAAAAUUCAAGCAACAUUGAAAAUAGAAACGUCAAUAACAUUUCCCCUUUUGCAAAUGCAACUGUAAUAGCAGAACCAGUCAAAAACGCUGCUCCCUUCCUUCCUUUUCCUUCCUUAGCGUGCAAAAUGUGUGAACAGUUGAGCCCGUGGUAAAAACGCAGAAAUCAGCCAUCUUUGUUUGUUUUCAUUUGAACAAUGUUGCCACUGCUCAAUACGCAUAUAUAGUUUUGUACACAUCUAUGUUUUCAAUUACAAUUUUUUAUAAUAUAAAAUAUCAAAACUGAAAACAAACUAUUAAAAAUAGUUUACAUGUUUAUAAAUAAUAGCAUUCGACUCUGAUUUUUAGUUAUUUUAUGAAAAUUUCAAACAUAUUGAAACAUAUUGAACAGAUUGAAUUAUAAAAGUUGAUAUUACUACAGUAUAUCGAUAUAGGCAACACUGCGUUGUGAGAGAGCAAUCAGCUGCCACGUUUCUACGGCAAAAAUCCAAAUGCCGUGAAUUCUCACCGCAUCCUACGUCAAAGAGAGAUGGGAGUAGCGUUUUUCACUGUUCACUUACAUUGCGCGCCCAUAAGAUAGGUCGUAUCAACUGUGUGUUAUGGAUAACAAAAAGUAUUUGUUACCCGAAUAUCUGUUAAUUUUAUUAUUUUGGUUAUCAGUUUGUUACCUUUAACAUGUAAUCAUGUUAGCAGGAACAAGCUGUAACAAGCAUAUCUGUUACCCAUUUGUUACUUCUAGCAAAUUCAAUUAUUUUAAAUAAAAGUCAUUUUUUUUAAUUAUUUUGAUUUAUUUAAUAAUAAAAUCAAAAUAAGAUAUUAAUUAAA